rnacentral:rRNA from 1 species
UAGAGUUUGAUCAUGGCUCAGGACGAACGCUGGCGGCGCGCCUCAUACAUGCAAGUCGAACGUGAAGCUCGGAGCUUGCUCCGGGUGGAAAGUGGCGAACGGGUGAGUAACACGUGAGAAACCUGCCCCGAAGACCGGAAUAACACCGGGAAACCGGUGCUAAUACCGGAUGUCCUCCUCGGACCGCAUGAUCCGACGAGGAAAUGGAUUCCGCUUCGGGAUGGUCUCGCGGCCUAUCAGCUAGUUGGUGGGGUAACGGCCCACCAAGGCUUCGACGGGUAGCUGGUCUGAGAGGAUGUCCAGCCACACUGGGACUGAGACACGGCCCAGACUCCUACGGGAGGCAGCAGUGGGGAAUAUUGGACAAUGGGCGAAAGCCUGAUCCAGCAAUGCCGCGUGAGUGAUGAAGGCCUUAGGGUUGUAAAGCUCUUUUACCUGGGAAGAUAAUGACGGUACCAGGAGAAUAAGCCCCGGCUAACUUCGUGCCAGCAGCCGCGGUAAAUCGC